GAUGAACGCUGGCGGCGUGCCUAAUACAUGCAAGUCGAGCGAACGGACGAGAAGCUUGCUUCUCUGAUGUUAGCGGCGGACGGGUGAGUAACACGUGGAUAACCUACCUAUAAGACUGGGAUAACUUCGGGAAACCGGAGCUAAUACCGGAUAAUAUUUUGAACCGCAUGGUUCAAAAGUGAAAGACGGUCUUGCUGUCACUUAUAGAUGGAUCCGCGCUGCAUUAGCUAGUUGGUAAGGUAACGGCUUACCAAGGCAACGAUGCAUAGCCGACCUGAGAGGGUGAUCGGCCACACUGGAACUGAGACACGGUCCAGACUCCUACGGGAGGCAGCAGUAGGGAAUCUUCCGCAAUGGGCGAAAGCCUGACGGAGCAACGCCGCGUGAGUGAUAAAGGUCUUCGGAUCGUAAAACUCUGUUAUUAGGGAAGAACAUAUGUGUAAGUAACUGUGCACAUCUUGACGGUACCUAAUCAGAAAGCCACGGCUAACUACGUGCCAGCAGCCGCGGUAAUACGUAGGUGGCAAGCGUUAUCCGGAAUUAUUGGGCGUAAAGCGCGCGUAGGCGGUUUUUUAAGUCUGAUGUGAAAGCCCACGGCUCAACCGUGGAGGGUCAUUGGAAACUGGAAAACUUGAGUGCAGAAGAGGAAAGUGGAAUUCCAUGUGUAGCGGUGAAAUGCGCAGAGAUAUGGAGGAACACCAGUGGCGAAGGCGACUUUCUGGUCUGUAACUGACGCUGAUGUGCGAAAGCGUGGGGAUCAAACAGGAUUAGAUACCCUGGUAGUCCACGCCGUAAACGAUGAGUGCUAAGUGUUAGGGGGUUUCCGCCCCUUAGUGCUGCAGCUAACGCAUUAAGCACUCCGCCUGGGGAGUACGACCGCAAGGUUGAAACUCAAAGGAAUUGACGGGGACCCGCACAAGCGGUGGAGCAUGUGGUUUAAUUCGAAGCAGCGCGAAGAACCUUACCAAAUCUUGACAUCCUUUGACAACUCUAGAGAUAGAGCUUUCCCCUUCGGGGGACAAAGUGACAGGUGGUGCAUGGUUGUCGUCAGCUCGUGUCGUGAGAUGUUGGGUUAAGUCCCGCAACGAGCGCAACCCUUAAGCUUAGUUGCCAUCAUUAAGUUGGGCACUCUAAGUUGACUGCCGGUGACAAACCGGAGGAAGGUGGGGAUGACGUCAAAUCAUCAUGCCCCUUAUGAUUUGGGCUACACACGUGCUACAAUGGACAAUACAAAGGGCAGCGAAACCGCGAGGUCAAGCAAAUCCCAUAAAGUUGUUCUCAGUUCGGAUUGUAGUCUGCAACUCGACUACAUGAAGCUGGAAUCGCUAGUAAUCGUAGAUCAGCAUGCUACGGUGAAUACGUUCCCGGGUCU
rnacentral:rRNA from 1 species